AAACGCUUGAAGUCAGUCGCAUUGAUCAGGGAUCAACCUUGCUUCUGCUUGGUGCACUUUCUGGUCAAUGGGUCAGCAUCAAUUUUGACCAGUGGAGAAAGGUCAAGGGAAUGUGGCAUCUUUGGAUGUGUUAUAGCUCUUGGUCAUAUACAUUGGUUGGGAUUGAGGAACUCAGCACGCCGCAAGGCCGGGUUUUAAACCACGUUCGUGCUUAGGAUGCUGGCAUAAUGGCUUUAAUCGA
rnacentral:rRNA from 1 species